rnacentral:rRNA from 1 species
GAGUUUGAUCAUGGCUCAGAUUGAACGCUGGCGGCAGGCCUAACACAUGCAAGUCGAGCGGUAGAGAGAAGCUUGCUUCUCUUGAGAGCGGCGGACGGGUGAGUAAUGCCUAGGAAUCUGCCUGGUAGUGGGGGAUAACGCUCGGAAACGGACGCUAAUACCGCAUACGUCCUACGGGAGAAAGCAGGGGACCUUCGGGCCUUGCGCUAUCAGAUGAGCCUAGGUCGGAUUAGCUAGUUGGUGAGGUAAUGGCUCACCAAGGCGACGAUCCGUAACUGGUCUGAGAGGAUGAUCAGUCACACUGGAACUGAGACACGGUCCAGACUCCUACGGGAGGCAGCAGUGGGGAAUAUUGGACAAUGGGCGAAAGCCUGAUCCAGCCAUGCCGCGUGUGUGAAGAAGGUCUUCGGAUUGUAAAGCACUUUAAGUUGGAGGAAGGCAGUAAAUUAAUAACUUUGCUGUUUUGACGUUACCGUACAGAAUAAGACACCGGCUAACUACUGUAGCC